rnacentral:lncRNA from 1 species
UACUGGGCAACUUAUCUCAGCUUUUCCAGUCUCUUCAACUGCUUCCUUCCAAGUGCAUGCGGGAAGUAUAGAACCUGUAAUCCAGUGUCAGGUGCAUGCGAGGAAACUUGUCCCGAGAGCUUUACCAGGACAGGUCGAGAUUGCCAGCCAUUGAGUAAACUUCAGACGUGUGCAGAGGACCUCGAGUAUCGAUUCGUUCGAAAGGAGGGAGCUGGUUACUUCUCCACAAAUUAUACUGAUCCACUCAAUGUUGCAUCGGAAGCAGACUGUCAAGGGCGCUGUGAGUCGAACUGCAACUGCACGGCUGCCUUUUAUAGUGACCGGAGCUGCUUUCUCGCUCAUGGAGACGUACAAUCGCUUCGAACUGGAAAAUACGUUGCGUUAUUGAAAGUUGCACAGCCACGAAAAGCAUCCAGGAAGCACGUCCAGGCCAUCACCUUGGGAGUACUUAUUCCGACACUCGUCCUUCUGAUUAUAAGUCUCGGAUGGCGCUGCCGAAGGAGCAAGAACGAUGAUGACGAGGGAGAAGAAGAAAGCACCUUGCAGCUCUCUCUCAUGGCUGGCAUGCCAAGGCGUUUUAGUUACCAAGAGCUGCAACAAGUCACAGGAAACUUCAGUGAAAUGCUUGGAAAUGGAGGAUUUGGAAGCGUGUUCAAAGGAAACCUUGCCGAUGGAAUUGAGGUCGCUGUGAAGAAACUUGAAGGCUCCAACCAGAGGAGCAAAGAUUUUUUCGCCGAAGUUGGAAUCCUAGCCAGGACGCACCACUGGAACCUCGUCAAGCUGCUGGGAUUCUGUGCCCAGGGUCCAAGGAAAAGGCUCCUGGUGUACGAAUAUAUGAGGAACGGGUCCCUCGACCGAUGGAUAUUUGAAGACGAUGAAUAUCCUGGCAAUGUGCCGUGGGGAGUUAGAUACAACAUUGCCUUGGGCACAGCAAGAGGAUUGAGCUACUUACAUGACGAAUGCGCUGAAAAGAUAAUCCACUUGGACUUGAAGCCGGAGAAUGUGCUCCUCGACGAUGGUUUCCAGCCGAAAAUAGCAGAUUUCGGACUGUCCAGGCUCAUGGACAGGAAGGAAAGCCACUUGCAGCUGACGAUAACGAGAGGCACUCCUGGCUACGUCGCACCGGAGUGUGUUCAGGAAGGAACAGUGACUGAAAAAUCGGAUGUUUUCGGCUUCGGGGUAUUGCUGCUCGAGAUCAUAACAGGUUGCAGGAGCAGGAAUCUCUCGGAUGAUUUCCUGAAGGACUACCUGUUGGUCAGUGAAAGGGACGAGAAGGCUGUUGCUCACCUCCACCAAGACGACAAGGAAAGAGAGAGAUUGAAGACCGUGGUAAGUUUGUGUGUCCGAGACGAUCCAGACUUACGGCCCUCGAUGAUGAACGUGGUACCAAUGAUGCAAGGAGUUAUUAAGCUUCCUCAGAUCCCCUCGGAGUCGCAGCUCCAGUUCUUCCUCGCUUACAGAUCCAAACUUCAGCUUAGCAGAAGCACAACCUCGGACGUACCUCAGUACAGUUCUAAUAAGUUGCUGGGUUCGUCAACGUCGUUUGGAUUUCUCUCACAAGAGAGCCUGGGUUGUCGAUAAUUGGAUAGUGCUCAGUACCUAUACAAUGAUAUGUAAGUAAUUCAUACCUUGUGCCCAGUAUAUCCGUUACAGUCCACAAGAGUUGUAUAGCAAUCCUAACUUGAAGAAGGAGCUUGCUUCUUCCCGAUCUGGAAAUUUGCAAAGAAAGUAAGAAAACAAACCUGCAACGACUUGCUCAAGAGCUCGUGCUUCGAAAUCGAGCGAGCCAAAGUAAUCAAGCAAAUGGCUAGCCUGCUUUUGACUCAAGUGACACUCUUCUACUGGAACUCAAGUAUACCUUUGAUCGAACUUCUCCAGUUCAGACACAUCCCAUUGGCUUUCACCACGAACAAAAUUUCCCGCCGUUUCUAAAGCGAUUCCUCUCUCACCACAGCUUUCGCUAAACUGGAAAGAAAAGAAAAAAAAGAGAGGGGGAGUCGAAGGAAAACAAAAUCUGUGAGAAGAUUUCUCGUACCUGAUUCCUACGGAUUUCCUUCAACCUGUUAAAGCAUAUCCACAUAAACUCAAGUCAGUCACAAAGCUCGGCUAUAACCAAGUCUAAACGUAUCUGCAAAGACUUGUUCAAAGCGCGUUGGAACAUCCAAGUAUUUGAGCGCCGGAGCCGCAAGAGAGGUCGAGAACUCCAUGGCUACCAAAGGAGAGCUGUGCUUCAUCUUCUCGUCGAUCUUCAUCCUGGGAUUUUCUCGAGCGGAACUGUACUACAGGAAUUUCACCAGUGAAGUAAAUGGUCCCCUGUAUCCGCUUGAUCCAUCCGGCUUGAGUGGCCGCUACACUGAUUUAUGGUCCAACUACACCGACACGGACAUGAGCUUCCAGGUGUGGAUGCUGAGCUAUGACGCCACAACACCAAGAUCGUUCUUCCUGGCACUGGUUGGAAUUCGCAAUCCAAGUAAGCUCUGGGACCUCACAAAACCGGUCGUUCUGUGGAAGGCCCGUCAGACGAGGCUUGUAGGAGAGAAUGCCACUCUAGCAUUCACCACCGAUGGAGAGCUCAAGCUUGAAGAAGAUGGCGACGUUGUCUGGUCCUCCAACACCACAAACAAAGGCGUCCGGUGGCUUGCCAUAUCCGACAGCGCGACCAUAAUGCUCCUGGAUGAAAGUGAAAGCAAUGUCAUCUGGCAAAGUAGCGACGAACCUUCUGACACUGUGCUGUUGCAACGAGCGCUUAAGCCGGGAUAUAAGCUCGUAAGUUGGAAUACUUCAGAAGACAGCAGCGACGGCCUGUAUAGCCUUGUCAUGGAGAAGAACAGGCUCAAACUGCUAUACGACUCGCAACCAUACUGGAGCUUCGGUAAUAUUACAAGAGAGGAAGAUAUGUUUGCGGUCUUCUGCUGGCAGCCAAAUGGAGUCGUGUCCCUGGAUCUCCGAACUAAUUUCUCACAGAUAGAAGGUGCGGGCUUGGUACAGCCGGAGUCUUGUGCCAUACCUGGUUCUGAAGACCAAGCGAUGCAGCUGCCAAUAAACGGGUCACAGUUCACGUCCUCCACUUUCAUAAGGCUCACACCAGAUGGAGAUGUGGACCUGUACUCCUGGAAUUGGACGGGUAGCAACUGGGUGACUUAUCUCAGCUUUUCCAAUCACUUCAAGUGCUUCCUUCCAAGUGCAUGCGGGAAAUAUAGAACCUGUAAUCCAACAUUAGGUACAUGCGAAGAUACUUGUCCCGAGAGCUUUACCAAGAAAGAUGAAGAUUGCCAGCCAUCGUUUCCACUUCAGAUGUGUGAGGAGGAGAUGGAGUAUCGAUUCGUUCGGAAGGAGGGAACUGAUUACUUCUCCACAAAUUAUACUGAUCCACUCAAUGUUGCAUCGGAAGAAGAUUGUCAAGGGUUGUGUGAGUCGAAUUGCAACUGCACGGCUGCCUUCUAUAGUGACCGGGCCUGCUUUCUCGUGCAUGGAGACGUGCAAUCACUUCGAACUGGAAAAUACGUUGCGUUAUUGAAAGUUGCACAGCCACGAAAGAAUUCCAGGAAGCACGUCCAGGCCAUCACCUUGGGAGUACUUAUUCCAACAGUCGUCCUACUGAUAGUAAGCCUCGGAUGGCGCUGCCGGAGGAACAAGGAAGAUGACGACGAGGGAGAAGAAGAAAGCACCUUGCAGCUCUCUCUCAUGGCUGGCAUGCCGAGGCGUUUUAGUUACCAGGAGCUCCAGCAAGUCACAGGGAACUUCAGUGAUAGACUGGGAAGCGGAGGAUAUGGAAGCGUGUUCAAAGGAAAACUUACCGAUGGAACUGAAGUCGCUGUGAAGAAACUCGAAGGCUCCAACCAGAGGAGCAAAGACUUUUUCGCCGAAGUUGGAAUCCUAGCCAGGACGCACCACUGGAACCUCGUCAAGCUGCUGGGAUUCUGUGCCCAAGGUCCCAGGAAAAGGCUCCUUGUGUACGAAUAUAUGAAGAACGGGUCCCUGGAGCGAUGGAUAUUUGAAGACGAUAGAAAGCCUGGCAGUUUUACAUGGGACGUUAGAUACAACAUUGCCUUGGGCACAGCAAGAGGAUUGAGUUACUUACAUGACGACUGCGCUGAGAGGAUCAUCCACCUGGACCUGAAGCCGGAGAAUGUGCUCGUCGACGAUGGUUUCCAGCCGAAGAUAGCCGACUUCGGAUUGUCCAAGCUCAUGGACAGGAAGGAAAGCCAGCUACAACUGACAAUUGCGAGAGGCACCCCUGGAUACGUCGCACCCGAGUGUGUUCAGGAAGGAACGGUGACUGAGAAAACCGACGUUUUCGGCUACGGGGUA